AUUGAACGCUGGCGGCAGGCUUAACACAUGCAAGUCGAGCGGUAGCACAGGGGAGCUUGCUCCCUGGGUGACGAGCGGCGGACGGGUGAGUAAUGUCUGGGAAACUGCCUGAUGGAGGGGGAUAACUACUGGAAACGGUAGCUAAUACCGCAUAACGUCGCAAGACCAAAGAGGGGGACCUUCGGGCCUCUUGCCAUCAGAUGUGCCCAGAUGGGAUUAGCUAGUAGGUGGGGUAAUGGCUCACCUAGGCGACGAUCCCUAGCUGGUCUGAGAGGAUGACCAGCCACACUGGAACGGAGACAAGGUCCAGACUCCUAAGGGAGGCAGCAGUGGGGAAAAUUGCAAAAUGGGCGCAAGCCUGAUGCAGCCAUGCCGGGUGUGUGAAGAAGGCCUUCGGGUUGGAAAGCACUUUCAGCGAGGAGGAAGGUGGUGAGCUUAAUACGUUCAUCAAUUGACGUUACUCGCAGAAGAAGCACCGGCUAACUCCGUG
rnacentral:rRNA from 1 species